AGCCCUGUCGUCUAGCGGCCAAGGAUAGUGCCCUUUGGAGGCAUUGACGGCGGUUCAAAUCCGCCCAGGGCUA
rnacentral:tRNA from 1 species